rfam:Ixodes scapularis strain Wikel colony gcontig_1108378412060, whole genome shotgun sequence.
CCCUGGUUAGCUCAGUUGGUAGAGCGCUCCACUUGUAAUGGAGAGGUCCUUGGUUCGAUACCCGGACCAGGCG